rnacentral:lncRNA from 1 species
AAAUAAAAUAAUAUUAACAAUCAAAGCAUUUGUUCUAUUCUAAACUGUGGGGGUGUGAACAAUCAAGGAACAUGGGCCUAAGAGCAAAGGAAAACCCAUGAAGGGUUUGGUCAAACUUGUUGACCUCGGAGGCUUCAUCUUCUAAAUGGUGACAAGUGUCCAGGGUUGGUGACACUUGUCACCGCCACCUCACCAAACCAAACACGGUUUAAAAAAAACAAAAAUAGGAAAAAU